UCCCUGGUGGCUCAGAUGGUAAAGAAUCUGCCUGUAAUGCAGGAGACACAGGUUCGAUCCCUGGGUUGGGAA
rnacentral:tRNA from 1 species